UACGUAGGGUGCAAGCGUUGUCCGGAAUUAUUGGGCGUAAAGAGCUCGUAGGCGGUCUGUCACGUCGGCUGUGAAAACCCGGGGCUCAACCCCGGGCCUGCAGUCGAUACGGGCGGACUUGAGUACUGCAGGGGAGACUGGAAUUCCUGGUGUAGCGGUGAAAUGCGCAGAUAUCAGGAGGAACACCGGUGGCGAAGGCGGGUCUCUGGGCAGUAAC
rnacentral:rRNA from 1 species